CGAAACUAUGAUGUGGGGGAUCGGGAGUUGCUGGCUGGGGUCAAAGCUCUGAAAGUGUGGAGACAUUGGCUUGAGGGGGUGAAACUCUCUUUUCUCAUCUGGACUGACCACCGUAACCGGGAGUACAUCCGGGCGGCGAGGAGACUUAAUCCUCGUCAGGCAAGAUACCGAGGAGCGGCCCAAUGAUCCCACACCCAGACUUCCAGCCUCUUGUCUGGUGGCACCGGUGGGGUGGGAGGUGGACGCGGACAUCGAGCGGGCGUCUCGGUUAGAACCUCCUCCACCUCAGUGUCCAGCGGGUCGGAGUGCCAUCUUUCUAUCAAUAAUCAGAAGUGGGCUGGGCAUGUGAGCCCAUGUCUGGAUGCGUGUGUGUCUUUGGCCUCUGGAGUGGUUCCCUGUUGCAACUUCACUGGGCUACAUGGACAAGGUCAGUCCGGUAAUGGUCCUAUAAGGCCUGUCACUAGAGCUAUCCGUUACUUUUCCUACUGCCAUGAAUCAUGGAGCCUGUUCUGUCUUUAUCUUUAGUAUUUUGCUUCCUUUGUUUUGUUCUGUUGGUGAUUAUAGUUAAAACUGUGUGUGCUUUAGUAGUAGGCUUUACACUGUUUUUGAAAAUAUUGUUUGUGAGAGGGCCGCGUUUUGUGUCGCACAAAUUAGGUGCUAAAAGUAUAAAUACCAAAACCAUGUUGUGUGUACAUGAAGUUGUGCAAUCAGGGUUUGGAAGUGGAGGUCGAGGUAAUUACACACCAGUGUUCCAUUAGCUAUCAGAUUUUCCACAGCAGGUAUAGGAAGUAGUGUCAUUUCCUCCUCCCUCCAUGCAUGCAUAACUGAUUGUAAUGGGGAAAAUUGCCCAAAAUGAGGUUGUGUUUAGAUUAAACUAUCAAAUUGUCAAUUACCUGUAUUUGUUAAUGGGUCAGCUCACGUAUUCUUUCCCAAGAUUAGACUUAUACAUGAUUAUAUAUAGUGUUUACAUGGUUGAAAAACUAAGUGAUUAGGAAUGCACGAUAGAGAUAUGACCUAAUUACUUGUUAUGGGAGAGAAACUUCAUGAGGGGAGUAGCUGUGUUUUACCUGAUAGAUUUUCCAGACUCUCACAGGUUGAUGGGGGUUUCUCCCUCUGCCUGAGAGUCAAAAGGAGAAAGCCUCCGACAAGAUGGUUAGGGAAUCUUUCUCCAGCAGAAUAUAAAGGUCAUCAUGUGAAAACCAUUCUAUGACUUUCAGAAAAAAAUAUCACCCAUCUGAUUGGUUUGUCUGUUUUUCAAAAGCUCUUUGAGCCGAUCAGUCCUGUCUUUAUAGCGUAAUUCUGUGUUAUGUAAUUUCAACAGUUCUCAAACAAAUAUCAGUGUGGGAUUUCAGUGGGUUAUUGAAUGAUGUCCACAGCUAUGUUAAAAUGUCA
ensembl:lncRNA